UACGUAGGCAGCGAGCGUUGUUCGGAGUUACUGGGCGUAAAGGGCGCGUAGGCGGCUAGUUUAGUCAGAGGUGAAAGCCCAGGGCUCAACCCUGGAAUUGCCUUUGAUACUGGCUAUCUUGAGUUCGGGAGAGGUGAGUGGAACUGCGAGUGUAGAGGUGAAAUUCGUAGAUAUUCGCAAGAACACCAGUGGCGAAGGCGGCUCACUGGCCCGAUACUGACGCUGAGGCACGAAAGCGUGGGGAGCAAACAGG
rnacentral:rRNA from 1 species